rnacentral:rRNA from 1 species
UUAAGUUAAUAAGGGCGCACGGUGGAUGCCUUGGCACUAGGAGCCGACGAAGGACGUGACAAACGACGAUAUGCCUUGGGUAGCUGUAAGUAAGCGAUGAUCCAGGGAUUUCCGAAUGGGGGAACCCAACAGGUAAUACCUGUUACCUACAUCUGUUAAGGAUGUGAGGAGGAAGACGCAGUGAACUGAAACAUCUAAGUAGCUGCAGGAAGAGAAAGCAAAAGCGAUUGCCUUAGUAGCGGCGAGCGAAACGGCAGAAGGGCAAACCGAAGAGUUUACUCUUCGGGGUUGUAGGACUGCAAUGUGGACUCAAAGAUUAUAGAAGAAUGAUUUGGGAAGAUCAGCCAAAGAGAGUAAUAGCCUCGUAUUUAAAAUAGUCUUUGUACUUAGCAGUAUCCUGAGUACGGCGGGACACGUGAAAUCCCGUCGGAAUCUGGGAGGACCAUCUCCCAACCCUAAAUACUCCCUAGUGACCGAUAGUGAACCAGUACCGUGAGGGAAAGGUGAAAAGCACCCCGGGAGGGGAGUGAAAUAGAACCUGAAACCGUGUGCCUACAACAAGUUCGAGCCCGUUAAUGGGUGAGAGCGUGCCUUUUGUAGAAUGAACCGGCGAGUUACGUUAUGAUGCGAGGUUAAGUUGAAGAGACGGAGCCGUAGGGAAACCGAGUCUGAAUAGGGCGCCUUAGUAUCAUGACGUAGACCCGAAACCAUGUGACCUACCCAUGAGCAGGUUGAAGGUGCGGUAAGACGCACUGGAGGACCGAACCAGGGCACGUUGAAAAGUGCUUGGAUGACUUGUGGGUAGCGGAGAAAUUCCAAACGAACUUGGAGAUAGCUGGUUCUCUCCGAAAUAGCUUUAGGGCUAGCGUCGACAUUAGAGAUUCUUGGAGGUAGAGCACUGUUUGGGUGAGGGGUCCAUCCCGGAUUACCAAUCUCAGAUAAACUCCGAAUGCCAAUGAAUUAUGGUCGGCAGUCAGACUGCGAGUGCUAAGAUCCGUAGUCGAAAGGGAAACAGCCCAGACCACCAGCUAAGGUCCCAAAAUAAUUGUUAAGUGGAAAAGGAUGUGGGGUUGCACAGACAACUAGGAUGUUAGCUUAGAAGCAGCUAUUCAUUCAAAGAGUGCGUAAUAGCUCACUAGUCGAGUGACCCUGCGCCGAAAAUGUACCGGGGCUAAAACAAUUUACCGAAGCUGUGGAUACCUUUAUAGGUAUGGUAGGAGAGCGUUCUAUGUGUGAUGAAGGUAUACCGUGAGGAGUGCUGGAACGCAUAGAAGUGAGAAUGCCGGUAUGAGUAGCGAAAGACAGGUGAGAAUCCUGUCCACCGUAAGACUAAGGUUUCCAGGGGAAGGCUCGUCCGCCCUGGGUUAGUCGGGACCUAAGGAGAGACCGAAAGGUGUAUCCGAUGGACAACAGGUUGAUAUUCCUGUACUAGAGUAUGUAGUGAUGGAGGGACGCAGUAGGCUAACUAAAGCAGACGAUUGGAAGAGUCUGUCUAAGCAGUGAGGUGUGAAUUGAGUCAAAUGCUUAAUUCUAUAACAUUGAGCUGUGAUGGGGAGCGAAGUUUAGUAGCGAAGUUAGUGACGUCACACUGCCAAGAAAAGCUUCUAGCGUUUAAACAUACUCUACCCGUACCGCAAACCGACACAGGUAGUCGAGGCGAGUAGCCUCAGGUGAGCGAGAGAACUCUCGUUAAGGAACUCGGCAAAAUGACCCCGUAACUUCGGGAGAAGGGGUGCUGACUUUAAGUCAGCCGCAGUGAAUAGGCCCAAGCAACUGUUUAUCAAAAACACAGCUCUCUGCUAAAUCGUAAGAUGAUGUAUAGGGGGUGACGCCUGCCCGGUGCUGGAAGGUUAAGAGGAGUGCUUAGCGUAAGCGAAGGUAUGAAUUGAAGCCCCAGUAAACGGCGGCCGUAACUAUAACGGUCCUAAGGUAGCGAAAUUCCUUGUCGGGUAAGUUCCGACCCGCACGAAAGGCGUAAUGAUUUGGGCACUGUCUCAACGAGAGACUCGGUGAAAUUUUAGUACCUGUGAAGAUGCAGGUUACCCGCGACAGGACGGAAAGACCCCAUGGAGCUUUACUGCAGUUUGAUAUUGAGUGUCUGUACCACAUGUACAGGAUAGGUAGGAGUCUAAGAGAUCGGGACGCCAGUUUCGAAGGAGACGCUGUUGGGAUACUACCCUUGUGUUAUGGCCACUCUAACCCAGAUAGGUGAUCCCUAUCGGAGACAGUGUCUGACGGGCAGUUUGACUGGGGCGGUCGCCUCCUAAAAGGUAACGGAGGCGCCCAAAGGUUCCCUCAGAAUGGUUGGAAAUCAUUCGCAGAGUGUAAAGGUAUAAGGGAGCUUGACUGCGAGAGCUACAACUCGAGCAGGGACGAAAGUCGGGCUUAGUGAUCCGGUGGUUCCGUAUGGAAGGGCCAUCGCUCAACGGAUAAAAGCUACCCUGGGGAUAACAGGCUUAUCUCCCCCAAGAGUUCACAUCGACGGGGAGGUUUGGCACCUCGAUGUCGGCUCGUCGCAUCCUGGGGCUGUAGUCGGUCCCAAGGGUUGGGCUGUUCGCCCAUUAAAGCGGCACGCGAGCUGGGUUCAGAACGUCGUGAGACAGUUCGGUCCCUAUCCGUCGCGGGCGUAGGAAAUUUGAGAGGAUCUGCUCCUAGUACGAGAGGACCAGAGUGGACUUACCGCUGGUGUACCAGUUGUCUUGCCAAAGGCAUCGCUGGGUAGCUAUGUAGGG